UACAGAGGGUGCGAGCGUUAAUCGGAAUUACUGGGCGUAAAGCGUGCGCAGGCGGUUAUGUAAGACAGGUGUGAAAUCCCCGGGCUUAACCUGGGAACUGCAUUUGUGACUGCAUCGCUGGAGUGCGGCAGAGGGGGAUGGAAUUCCGCGUGUAGCAGUGAAAUGCGUAGAUAUGCGGAGGAACACCGAUGGCGAAGGCAAUCCCCUGGGCCUGCACUGACGCUCAUGCACGAAAGCGUGGGGAGCAAACAGG
rnacentral:rRNA from 1 species